GAUAGAAAUACUUUAUUGGAGGUUAAAGAAUUAAGAUGGCAACUAAGGUUUAAUGCUAAUGCCCCACCUGGACUAAAUGAAAGUUUAAACAUUAAAUGUUUUUU